GAAGUGAAGACCAGCUGGACUGAAAAGUGCCAUUGGUGUCCUGGCUGAUCCCUACUCAGUUACAGCAUCUCCAACAAUUUGAGUUUCAGUAGCUGCUAAGUUAUCCUCUGACCCUGAUAAUCAGCAGAUAGCAAACAGCUCCACAUUCAGGGAUGUCACAUUGAUAGCCUGAG